rnacentral:lncRNA from 1 species
AUGGAGUCGUCUGUUUUGAAUAAGAUGGAACAUGUGAAAAAGUGUGUAACUGGGGAAGCCAACUGCUGCGCACUCAGUGAGAGCCCAGCUGAGCUGAGGGAGGAUCUGGACCAAGCCAAGACUCAGAUCGGGAUGACUGAAUCUCUCUUGAAAGCCCUGUCUCCUUCAGACAGCUUGGAGAUCUUCACCAAACUCGAGGAGAUACAACAGCAAAUUCUACAGCAGAAGCACAGCAUGAUAAUACUUGAAAAUCAAAUAGGUUGUCUCACUCCUGAACUCUCUGAAUUGAAAAAGCAAUAUGAAAGUGUUAGUGAUUUAUUUAAUACCAAAAAGAGUGUUUUGCAAGAUCACUUUUCUACAUUAUUGAAUGAUCAAUGCAAGAACUUUAAUGACUGGUUCAGCAACGUUAAAAUGAACCUUAAGGAGUGUUUUGAAUCAUCAGAAACAAAAGGGAGUGUGCAACAAAAGCUGCAAAAACUUUCUGAAUUCUUGACUCUUGAAGGAAGAAGCAGUAAAAUAAAACAGGUAGAAACGAUGCUGCAGCACGUGAAGAAGCACCUGCCCAAAGCUCAUGUUAAGGAACUUAACAGCUGGCUUGUGAGUCAGGAGUUUGAAUUAGAAAAAAUGGAGUCCAUAUGCCAGGCCCGAGCACAGGAACUUGAAAACGACCUGCAGCAGCUGCUGAGAUUGCAGGAAGACUGUAGAAAUCUGAGCAAGUGGUUGGUUAAUCAAGAAGAGAAAUGGAAAGAAAUGGAAGAAUCAGGAGAGAGAGCUGAGCUAUUUUGCCAAGCUCUAGCGAGAAAGAGGUAUCAUGCUCUUGUGGGAGAGGUGUUACUUAGGAAUAUGAUUUCUUCCAUUAUGUAUUAGUGGCUCCUAUAAACUUUUAUCAAUGCUAUUUGGAAAUUACAGGGAACAGUUUGAAUCCGUGGCCCAGUUGAGCAACUUUUUGAAGGAACAUGGACUUACCGAGGAAGAAGAAAUAAUGAUGGAAUCAACACAUUUGAUUGAUAGAUAUCAGACAUUAUUGAGACCAUUGGGUGGAAUUGAGGAAGAGCACAAGUUACCAUCUGCUGAGGCCCAGAGCUUUAAUGAUCUUGCACAUGAUGUAAUUCAUUGGAUAAAGGAGAUUAAAGAGUCGCUUAUGGCUUUGAAUUCAUCUGAAGGCAAAAUGCCACUUGAAGAAAGAAUCCAAAAAAUAAAGGUAUAACUAGACAGUAAUUUUGAGAGGUCAGAGUGAACUCUAAUUUUGAAAAGAUUUACUACAAAGCUGCAAAGAUUUGUUUCUUAAUGGAAAAUAGGAUCACUGUGGAAUGGUUGAAGAAAUUCAUAUCACUAAACUCACAAAAGAGAUGGCUUGUGAUAGGUCUAAAAUUAUUUUAAUAUAUAUGAAAGAGAAAGUAUCUUUUCUUUGAGAGGGCGGUGCCCAGUUAUUGUCUGUCUUCACUGCAGGCAGAAAGAUUGAAAUAAAGACGAUGGAUCAGAGCCAUUGCAGAUGGGGAUUUACUAGGAUACAAAAAGAGUCUGUGUCAGGACAUCGGGGACAUAGGUAGCGUCUAGGACAGGAACAGAGAAGCCUUCUUCGGAGUGGAUGUGAAUGUUCAGUAGAUACCCGGUGGAUAUGAAGGGCAGAGAGGCCUCGUGCUCCUAAGAGCCCCCUUCUGUCCAAGUGGAGAAUUGCUAAACAUUGUGAGUGAGAAGUUUGAGUGAGAAACCUUGUGAGUGAGAAAAAUGACAGAAGCACAUGUGCGCAUUGAAGUUACAUCAAUUAAAGCAUUAUCAGAGGAAGAAAUGAUCAAGAAUAGUGAGCUAGAAGAGUUGAUGACUUCCUCAAGUUAGCACGAUCAUUUGGGAUUAUGUCUGAAUGUUUUCUGAGGGAAAGUGAACCUUGAGUCAUUUUUCUAAGUUGGGAAGAACUUAAUUGAAAAGACAAGGGAAGAGAAAGACAGGGAACAAGAAUUAGGUGUCAUGGUACACAAGAGUUGCCAUAAAGAACACU